rnacentral:ncRNA from 1 species
UGAAGGAAGCCGAUAGCGAAACGCCGGCCUGACGAACAGGAACCGGAUGAGAGGCGGGAACUUCGGGAGGGUCGGCAAAGUUCGAUUAACCCAGUACCGGUACGGAAGAAGUUCACGUAGAUCCGGCAGGUAAGGCGGGAAG